UUUUAAGUGUUACUGCAAAAUUAACAUGGAAAAAUAUCGGCCAAGCUACAGCACUGCCCUUUGCCAUGAUAAUGAAAACACUGAUGAUAUUUCCAAUUUAGAAAAUAAUACCCCCGGGAGUGAGUCAGAGGAACACGUAGACACAGUCGGCAUUUGUAAGAAGUAUUUUUAAUAAGAAGAGGAGACAAGUCAUCGUCCCAGCUGUGCAAUCCUUGCCGAAGUCAAAGAGGCCGAGAAGAAAGGCAUCGUUUGUCCUAAAGAGCAGCACACACAUGUAUACUGAAGGAGGAUGGCUAUGUAUUUAGACUAGAAGUUCCCCAGACCUAGACGAGACAUUCCUCUGUUUGCUUAACUUCAUUGUUCUUCCCUUCUCUCAUCACUUGUCCUCAGCUGACUGCAGCAGUCUCUGUGG
rnacentral:lncRNA from 1 species